rnacentral:lncRNA from 1 species
UCUUAAAAAGUAAAGGCUAAAUUACAGAAGAACUUUUUAUAAAUAUUUAUUUAUUUUUUACUUUUUCUCUCUAAUUUUAAAAAAUUUAUAUUUUAUCUCAUUAAUAUUUCAGGUUGUUACCGAUCGUCCCUAGAGCAAGUGGCGAAGGACUUGAUGAUUGGUACUCGAGAUUCCAAGUUCGAAUCCUAGUUGAUUCAUAUUUCUGGCUAAGUUUAUUUCUAAAUGAAAUAAACGAAGCAGAUAACGUGCUACCUAUCUCUCUAAAAAAAAAAAGAAAAAAUAUUUCAGGUUGUUGCAUUAGGCCUCCAUCCGUUAAGGUUUCAUCACUAUUUUAUCCAUUUCUUAUAAUUUAUAUAAAAAAAUAUUCUUCAAAAUAAUAAAAAUAUAUUAAAAAAUUAUCUUUUAUAGAAAAAAUAAUAGAAAUUUGGUUAUUUUGUCUUCUUCAUUAACAUCGUAUUCUCUGAAAAUAUUUUUUAAAUUUUAGGAGGAAAAAAUCUAAAUUUUUAAAUCCGUAAGAAAAAAGAAUUAAAAAAGCGAAUAUUUAUCCAAAAAAAUUUUAAUAAUUUAGCCCAAAGUAAAAUAUUAAUUAGCUAGUAAAAAAAUAUGAGUUUUUAGAUGGAUGGAUGGAACGUAAGAUGCACAGAUAGUAAUACUAAAAAAAAAAAAA